UCAGUUGGUAGAGCGCGAGACUGUUAAUCUUGAGGCCGUUGGUUCAAUCCCAAC
rnacentral:tRNA from 12 species